CCAAUCGGCAUGGCUUUUAGAGAAAGCGGCUCACUUUUUGAAUUGUUUGUUGCUGACACCGGCGAGGAAUGGCGGUAACAGUGUGGGGAAUCGGUGCUUGAAAAGGUGGACUUUCAAGGCGAUUUUUGAGAGUGGACUGUACCCCAGGAAACCAUGUGGAGAGUGACCUGAAGAAACCGAUGAUAAAGUUGUUUGGGGCUGUUGUAUUUGACCAUUGUGGCAUUGAGCACAGAGAAGACGGACUGGUCAUCGUAGAAGAGUACAAACAAUGGCUGACAGUAGUGUAUUAACAUCCACUAUUGAAAGGACAAGCUUGGCAGACUCCUCUAUUUUUGAUUCUAAAGUUACUGAAAUUUCCAAGGAAAAUGUACUUAUUGGAUCUGCUUCAUAUGUUGAAGAAGAAAUGCCUCAAAUUGAAACGAGAAUGAUAUUGGUUCAAGAAGCUGGAAAACAAGAAGAACUUAUACAAGCUUUAAAGACUAUUAAAAUAAUGGAAGUCCCUGUUAUAAAGAUAAGAGAAAGUUGUCCUGGAAAAUCGGAUGAAAAAUUAAUAAAAAGUGUUGUUAAUAUGGAAAUUAAAGUACCCUUUGUAAAGAUGGAAUCAGUGGAAGAACUUGAAAGUUUGGAUUCUCCAGAAUUUGAAAAUGUAUUCAUAGUCAUGGAUUUCCAGGAUUCUGUUUUUAAUGAGUUAUACAAGACUGAUCAUAGAAUUAUUGGGCCACCAGUUAUCUUAAACUGUGCCCAAAAAGGAGAGCCUUUGCCAUUCUCAUGUCGUCCACUCUACUGUACAAGCAUGAUGAACCUAGUCCUGUGCUUUACUGGAUUUAGGAAGAAAGAAGAACUAGUCAGAUUGGUGACAUUGGUUCAUCACAUGGGUGGAGUUAUUCGAAAAGACUUUAAUUCAAAAGUUACACAUUUGGUGGCAAAUUGUACACAAGGAGAAAAAUUCAGGAUUGCUGUGAGUCUGGGCACUCCAAUUAUGAAGCCAGAAUGGAUUUAUAAAGCUUGGGAAAGGCGGAAUGAACAGGAUUUCUGUGCAUCAGUUGAUGACUUCAGAAAUGAAUUUAAAGUUCCUCCAUUUCAAGAUUGCAUUUUAAGUUUCCUGGGAUUUUCAGAUGAAGAAAAAACCAAUAUGGAAGAAAUGACUGAGAUGCAAGGAGGUAACUGUUUACCUGUUGGAGAUGAAAGAUGCACUCACCUUAUAGUUGAAGAGAAUAUAGUAAAAGAACUUCCAUUUGAACCUUCGAAGAAACUUUAUGUUGUCAAGCAGGAGUGGUUCUGGGGAAGCAUUCAAAUGGAUGCCCGAGCUGGAGAAACUAUGUAUUUAUAUGAAAAGGCUAAUACUCCUGAGCUCAAGAAAUCAGUGUCACUGCUUUCUCUAAAUACCCCAAACAGCAAUCGCAAAAGACGUCGUUUAAAAGAGACACUUGCUCAGCUUUCGAGAGAGACAGACAUGUCACCUUUUCCUCCCCGUAAGCGCCCGUCAGCUGAACAUUCGCUUUCUAUAGGGUCACUCCUAGAUAUCUCCAACACACCAGAGUCUAGCAUUAACUAUGGAGAAACACCAAAAUCUUGUACUAAGUCUUCUAAAAAUUCCACUCCGGUUCCUUCAAAGCAGUCAGCCAGGUGGCAAGUUGCAAAAGAGCUUUAUCAGACUGAAAGUAAUUAUGUAAAUAUAUUGGCCACAAUUAUUCAGUUAUUUCAAGUACCAUUGGAAGAGGAAGGACAACGUGGUGGACCUAUCCUUGCACCAGAAGAGAUUAAGACUAUUUUUGGUAGUAUCCCUGAUAUCUUUGAUGUGCACACUAAGAUAAAGGAUGAUCUGGAAGACCUUAUUGUUAAUUGGGAUGAGAGCAAAAGCAUUGGUGACAUCUUUCUUAAAUAUUCAAAAGAUUUGGUAAAAACCUAUCCUCCCUUUGUAAACUUCUUUGAAAUGAGCAAGGAAACAAUUAUUAAAUGUGAAAAACAGAAACCAAGAUUUCAUGCUUUUCUCAAGAUAAACCAAGCUAAACCAGAAUGUGGACGGCAAAGCCUUGUUGAACUUCUCAUUCGACCAGUACAGAGGUUACCCAGUGUGGCAUUACUUUUAAAUGAUCUUAAGAAGCAUACAGCCGAAGAAAAUCCUGACAAAAGCACUCUAGAAAAAGCUAUUGGAUCACUAAAAGAAGUAAUGACCCAUAUUAAUGAGGAUAAGAGAAAAACAGAAGCUCAAAAGCAAAUAUUUGAUGUUGUUUAUGAAGUAGAUGGAUGCCCAGCGAAUCUUUUGUCUUCUCACCGAAGCUUAGUCCAACGAGUUGAAACAAUUUCUCUAGGUGAACACCCCUGUGACAGAGGAGAGCAAGUAACUCUCUUUCUCUUCAAUGACUGCCUGGAGAUAGCAAGAAAACGGCAUAAGGUUAUUGGCACUUUUAGGAGUCCUCAUGGCCAUACCCGACCCCCAGCUUCUCUUAAGCAUAUUCAUCUCAUGCCUCUUUCUCAAAUUAAGAAAGUGCUGGACAUAAGAGAAACAGAAGAUUGCCAUAAUGCUUUUGCCUUGCUUGUGAGGCCACCAACAGAGCGGGCAAAUGUGCUGCUCAGUUUCCAGAUGACAUCAGAGGAACUUCCAAAAGAGAACUGGCUAAAGAUGCUAUGUCGACAUGUAGCCAAUACCAUUUGUAAAGCAGAUGCUGAGAAUCUUAUUUACAGUGCUGAUCCAGAAUCCUUUGAAGUAAAUACUAAAGAUAUGGACAGUACAUUGAGUAGGGCAUCUAGAGCAAUAAAAAAGACUUCAAAAAAGGUUACAAGAGCGUUCUCUUUCUCCAAAACUCCAAAAAGAGCUCUGCGAAGAGCCCUCAUGACAUCCCAAAGCUCAGUGGAGGGAAGAAGUCCUUCCAGCAAUGACAAGCAUGUAAUGAGUCGUCUGUCUAGCACAUCAUCAUUAGCAAUUGCCCAUUUUGUUUCCACAAGCAAUACAGUUGGAUUUACUAAGUAUGCUUAUGUACAGUGCUCAAACUCUACUGGUGGGCGCUCUCAAAACUCCUGGUUUUGAUCUAUACGCCAUUCUACCUCACAAGCUAGCUUUUCAGAGAUACUAGACGGAACUGUUGAUUUUUCAAAUUUGCAAAAAAGUCCUAUCCAAGUCAUCUUUGACAUUUGUGAAGAAUUAGGAGAUCUGCCAGCCAGUAAUGGAAACAAGCCUCGUGAAGUUUAAUGGUAUCCCAUCACCCUCCCUUGUCAGCCUGCCUUCCUUCUUUGAAAGGAGAAGUCAUACUUUAAGUCGAUCUACAACUCAUUUGAUAUGAAGCUUAAAAAUCUUAAUUUAGAGCAACUUAUAAACACUUCAUACUUUAAAAACUGACUUAAAUGGUACUUGUCAUUAGCACUUGGGGAAAGCUGGAAAGAAUGUAGGUAACACUAAACUAUGCCAUUUGAUUUUCUUCUUUAAAGUGUAAGGUUAACCUCUUACAUUUUUUUAGGUAAUUCAUGUAAAAAAUUAUAUUGAUUUUGAUGUAAUUUUUCUCUUCCCUCGAGUCCUUCAUUCAAAGACCAAUAAUUUAAGUUAUUCACGAUAUUAGUAGCUUUGCAACUUGAUAACAGUAAAUAAAUUUUAUUGGUGGAUGCGAAAUACCGCUGUGAAUCUCUUUGUAUAUAGUGUCAAUGAAUUUUUGGAAAUACCUAUUUGUGUAUCUCAAUUUGUGAAGAAAUUAAGUGAUAUCACAGUACUUACUAGAUAAAAAACCACAGAUUCCUGAUUAAUAGUGGGGACUUGUUUCACAUGUGCUAUUUGAAAUAGUUGUUUAACUGCUUCUGUUGCAGUUUAUUUUAUUAUCAAGUGUUUUCGAGAUCUAGAGUGGAUUUUUAAAGAUUUGCCCUUAUUAAUAAGAAUAAUGGUUAAAGGAGAUUGUUUCAAAAUACUUUUGCAAAUUGAGAUAAGGACAGAAAGAUUAAAGAAUAAUGUAUAUUUUGUCAAACAUGAUAUUAGGGUAUACUUAUAACUUUUUCAGAGACCAUAUAUUUUCGGUGAUUUUAGCCACUAGCAAAUCUUCACUUAGUUUGAUAGUGUGUGAAAUUUUAUUGUGAAGGAUAAGACCAUGGGAGAAGUUGUGUGAUAGAGUGUUUAUACUUUUUAUGAAAUAAUUCUAAAGUUGGCACCAGUUUUACUAAUUUGCUGUAAAAUACAUAGGUAUGUGUAUGGUCUACCUUUUAUUUUGGUCCUAUAAUUAAAUGUAAAAUCAAAAUACA